rnacentral:rRNA from 1 species
UACGGAGGGGGCAAGCGUUGUUCGGAUUUACUGGGCGUAAAGGGAGCGUAGGCGGUUAGUCAAGUUCGGUGUGAAAGCUUCACCACUCAACGGGAAGAGGUCAUCGAAAACUGGCUGGCUAGAGUAGGGUAGAGGCAAGCGGAAUUCCUGGUGUAGCGGUGGAAUGUGUAGAUAUCAGGAAGAACAUCGGUGGCGAAGGCGGCUUGCUGGGCCCUUACUGACGCUGAAGCUCGAAAGCGUGGGGAGCAAACGGG